rnacentral:rRNA from 1 species
UACGUAGGGUGCGAGCGUUAAUCGGAAUUACUGGGCGUAAAGCGUGCGCAGGCGGUGAUGUAAGACAGGUGUGAAAUCCCCGGGCUUAACCUGGGAACUGCAUUUGUGACUGCAUCGCUGGAGUGCGGCAGAGGGGGAUGGAAUUCCGCGUGUAGCAGUGAAAUGCGUAGAGAUCGUAAGGAAGACCGGUGGCGAAGGCUAGUCUCUGGACAGUUACUGACACUGAGGCACGAAGGCCAGGGGAGCAAGCGGG